AAACCGUUACCAUUACUGA
rnacentral:ncRNA from 2 species